rnacentral:rRNA from 1 species
AACGAACGCUGGCGGCAUGCCUAACACAUGCAAGUCGAACGAGACCUUCGGGUCUAGUGGCGCACGGGUGCGUAACGCGUGGGAAUCUGCCCUUGGGUUCGGAAUAACAGUGAGAAAUUACUGCUAAUACCGGAUGAUGACUUCGGUCCAAAGAUUUAUCGCCCAAGGAUGAGCCCGCGUAGGAUUAGGUAGUUGGUGGGGUAAUGGCCUACCAAGCCGACGAUCCUUAGCUGGUCUGAGAGGAUGAUCAGCCACACUGGGACUGAGACACGGCCCAGACUCCUACGGGAGGCAGCGGUGGGGAAUAUUGGACAAUGGGCGAAAGCCUGAUCCAGCAAUGCCGCGUGAGUGAUGAAGGCCUUAGGGUUGUAAAGCUCUUUUACCAGGGAUGAUAAUGACAGUACCUGGAGAAUAAGCUCCGGCUAACUCCGUGCCAGCAGCCGCCGUAACAC